CAAUGCCAGUAAAACCCUAGAGAUAGGGCCAUAGUUAUACUGGACACAGGUGGUGCAUGGUUGUCGUCAGCUCGUGUCGUGAGAUGUUGGGUUAAGUCCCGCAACGAGCGCAACCCUUGCUUUAGUUACCAUCAUUAAGUUGGGGAACUCUAGAGAAACUGCCGGUGACAAACCGGAGGAAGGUGGGGAUGACGUCAAAUCAUCAUGCCCCUUAUGACCUGGGCUACACACGUAAUACAAUGGCGUAUACAACGGGACGCGAAAGGGCGACCUGGAGCAAAUCUCAUAAAUACGUCUCAGUUCGGAUUGAAGUCUGCAACUCGACUUCAUGAAGUUGGAAUCGCUAGUAAUCGCGGAUCAGCAUGCCGCGGUGAAUACGUUCUCGGGGUUU
rnacentral:rRNA from 1 species